rnacentral:rRNA from 1 species
GAAGUCGCCGCGCGAACCGCCAAGGACGGCAAGCGCCCAAGGUAUGGACCCAUGAUUGGGGUG